AGGGAUUGCCAAGCCAGAGCUUGUCUGGUACCUUAUCGCCAAAGAUUGGAGACCUCACUAACUUGCAAUAUCUGUUGCUGCAAAACAAUGCCAUUUCAGGUCCAAUUCCAACUACCAUUGGAACGUUGGAGAAGCUUCAAAAACUAGAUCUCUCCAACAAUACAUUCAGUGGUGAAAUACCUAGUGUAAGUGCUGCGGGGCCUCAAGAACCUGAAUUAUCUGUAAGUUUCAGAGACUUCAUACUUUUUUUUUUUGUUUCUUGCAAAAUAAAUACCUUAAUUGAAUGUUGUCUAGUUUGCCACAUGCUCAGUGCUAGCUUUCUGAACUCUUCUGGCUUUAACUUUGUUUUUUGAGCAAGUGAGGAGGUUAAACAACAACAGCCUUACUGGACCCUGUCCCGAGUCUCUAUCCAAUAUUAAAGGUCUCACUCUCGUGGAUCUUUCUUUUAACAAUCUCAGUGGCAACUUGCCAAAAAUAUCAGCAAGAACAUUCAAAAUUAUCGGUAACCCUUUGAUUGCCCUGUCUUGAAGGGAAUAUAUUCUUAACAUGUUUUAGUCCUCUAUUUGUUUGAGACGCGUAAAACAGUUUUGUGGCCUGAUUUUUUCUUCUCUGUUUCUAGUGUACUUCAUUAUGAGGACAAAGAAGAAACAGACAGAUGUAGAGGAAGACGUUGCAGCGACCCCCGUUUCAACAAAGGCUGCAACAACUACCAUUGUUUCUGAAAAUGAUCAGCAGUUCGAUAUUUGGUUCUGGAGAAUUGGAAGAGAAAAGGAAGAUCAAAACAAAACAUCCUGAACAACAAAAGCGCAUUGAUGAAGAGAAAGCCAUUCUCAAACAAUUUAUGACUUUGCAAAAUCUAUCCCGAGUACCAAAGUAUUGAACAUUCACCAUCAACUUUAUAGACGACUAGAAAGUAUCAUCUGUUGGUUUCCUUUUUCCAUGUUAAUUGACAUUGAAUGUAGUUUAUACUCUGAUGUUGAAUAUCAAUGGAUUCCCAACUCUGUUUGAAUGA